CAAUAGCGUAUAUUAAAGUUGUUGCAGUUAAAAAGCUCGUAGUUGGAUUUCUGGUGGGAGCGAUCGGUCUGGCGCUUAGCGCGAGUACUUGUAUCGUCUCCGGCCAUCCUUGGGGAGAGUCUGUCUGGCAUUAGGUUGUCGGGCAGAGGAUCCUCAUCGUUUACUGUGAAAAAAUUAGAGUGUUCAAAGCAGGCUUAUGCCGUUGAAUAUAUUAGCAUGGAAUAAUAAGAUAGGACUUUGGUACUAUUUUGUUGGUUUGCGCACCAAAGUAAUGAUUAAUAGGGACAGUUGGGGGUAUUCGUAUUCCGUUGUCAGAGGUGAAAUUCUUGGAUUUACGGAAGACGAACUACUGCGAAAGCAUUUACCAAGGAUGUUUUCAUUAA
rnacentral:rRNA from 1 species